AGUAGUUUGAUCCUGGCUCAGGAUGAACGCUAGCGGCAGGCCUAAUACAUGCAAGUCGAACGCUCAGUAGCAAUACUGGGAGUGGCGCACGGGUGCGUAACGCGUACACAAUCUACCUCUAAGCGGGGGACACCUCCUGGAAACGGGGAUUAAUACCGCAUAAUAUGCCGAAGUCGCAUGACUUUGGUAUUAAAGCAGCAAUGCACUUAGAGAUGAGUGUGCGUCCCAUUAGGUAGUUGGUGAGGUAACGGCUCACCAAGCCUAUGAUGGGUAGCCGGUCUGAGAGGAUGGUCGGCCACACGGGCACUGAGACACGGGCCCGACUCCUACGGGAGGCAGCAGUAAGGAAUAUUGGUCAAUGGUGGAAACACUGAACCAGCCAUGCCGCGUGGAGGAAUAAGGUCCUACGGAUUGUAAACUCCUUUUGACGAGGAAGAAAAUGUUAGAUUUAUCUAAUUUUGACGGUACUCGUAGAAUAAGCACCGGCUAACUCCGUG
rnacentral:rRNA from 1 species